GGGUCUCUAGCUCAGGGGCAGAGCGACUGCUUCGCAUGCAGUAGGUCACGGGUUCGAUUCCCGUGAGAUCCA